GCGGAUGUAGUGCACCGGCCAGCACGCAUGCUUCCCAAGCAGGAAAAGCGGGUUCGACUCCCGUCAUCCGCACGA
rnacentral:tRNA from 1 species